CAUGAACACAAGGGCCUGCGUUACAACAGAGGUGCCUCACCUUCGAUGAUUUCCUCUUUCAUUUUCUGUAGCUCCUUCCGCACCUCUUCCAGAAGCUCCUGAAAGAACCAAUCAAGAGUGGUCCCGGACUCUCUUACUCCAACUUAUCUAAGGGAUCUUUGGGGCCAGCAGAACAGUAUUGGAGAACAUCCAGGAGCAAGCUUGCCAAAUGUACAUAGUCUCCUGCCAACUGUGACUAGAGAUGGAUAGCUCGAGCCACUGAGGAUUCUGGGGACUCAGCAGGAAUGAGUGAUAGACUGGUAUUUCCCCAAGCUACCUGCUUCACCCUCUCCAAGUCGGAGUCAUCACUGGAGCAGGGCGUCGAGGGGUGGGCCUCGGAGGUAGUCACAGAAGAGGACGACUUCAUCCUGAAGAGAUGGCACAGGGCAGGAGGGGGCAAGCAAGGACAAGCUACAGUUCACACUCUGCCACUCAACAGGACCCCUUCCCACUGCUAAAUUCCAGGAGAGGUUGGAAAGUUAAAGAAGGGGCCUGCAAGAUAGCUCAGCAGAGAGAGAUGCUUGUACCAGCAGAACCACCUGAUUUAAUCCCAAAGACCUCUGUGAAGGCUGAUGGAGAGAACUGAGUCCUGCAGCUUAUCCUCUAACCCCCACAUAAACAGACAUACACAGUGAAUAAAUAAAUGUAGCAAGACUUUU
rnacentral:lncRNA from 1 species